rnacentral:rRNA from 1 species
GCUUGGGUUGGAAACUAAGGCUUCGGUCUUGGGUUGUGACCUGCAGACACAGCACCAACAGCGGCGCAAGCGUAAGCCUCUUGGAAAAGAGCAUUCACUCGGGUGAGAAUCCUGUGCGUCGCUUGACGUCCGCUGCGUACGGUGCGUGCUCUUAAAGUCACGCUCCUUGGAAUUGGAGCGUAAAUUAGGUGGUAAAUUUCAUCUACAGCGAAAUAUAAGCUCGAGACCGAUAGCAAACAAGUACCAUGAGGGAAAGAUGAAAAGGACUUUGGAAAGAGAGUUAAAAGUGCUUGAAAUCGCUGAAGGGGAAGCGAAUGGAACCAAGACCCUGGCUGAGACUGCUGCGAGUUUUCACUAGCCUUGUGUGUGAAUGCGUAAGCUUUUCGCACAUACGUGAAGGAACGCUCGCGGUGUUUCUCAGCUUGCUCGUCAGCUGCAACGCUCGCUUGAGGAUGGCCCUUGUCGCGCGCGGCUCUUCUGCGGAAUUGCUUCGGCGCCUCUGGGGAUUCAGGCGAGCGUGUCUUGCUGAUUAAAUGGUUCUCUUCGACCCGUCUUGAAACACGGACCAAGGAGUCUAGCACAUGUGCAAGUUCUCGGGCGACAAGCCAGUGAGCAUAAUGAAGGUGACUGCUGGGAUGCUUUGCGCUAGCAACCGACUAAUCAAUUGGGAGAAGUUUGAGUCAGAGCGUGUGUGUUAGGACCCGAAAGAUGGUGAACUAU